AUUGAAACCAAAGUUGGUAUUGCCACAGGAUACUCUUUAAAUGUAGUGAAAAAUCUAAUUUAUCGAAAAUAUCGGCUUUAACUACCACUUUAAAAUUAGAAUUUGAAUACAUGCACAAUUUAAUCAUACGAAUGGAGUGAACAUACUUAAUGAAUCACCCUGUAUAUAUGUUGCAUCCAAAUUGCGUUAUUGUUCGUUUCA